UACGGGGGGGGCAAGCGUUGUUCGGAAUUACUGGGCGUAAAGGGCUCGUAGGCGGCCAACUAAGUCAGACGUGAAAUCCCUCGGCUUAACCGGGGAACUGCGUCUGAUACUGGAUGGCUUGAGGUUGGGAGAGGGAUGCGGAAUUCCAGGUGUAGCGGUGAAAUGCGUAGAUAUCUGGAGGAACACCGGUGGCGAAAGCGGCACGCUGGGCCUCUUCUGACGCUGGAGGCGCGAAAGCCAGGGGAGCAAACGGG
rnacentral:rRNA from 1 species